UGGUUAGUCAUCUGUUUAAUUCUCUUGCUGCAGCAUGUCAUUUGGAUGUUGAAGGAAAAUCCCUUGAUUCACUCUGCCAUUUCUGACAGUCUCCCUCUAGACCACAUUAAUAAGCUUUUUAGAGAAGUGAAUGCAGAAUAAUCAGCAGGCAGCCUGAACUCAAAAUGGAGACAGAACAGACAGCAGAAAUGCCUUCUUCCCUUUGUAGUUAUGGUGCAUAGGUGACCCUUUUCUCACAGAACAGCAAAUAAUUUAAACUAAGAUUACCUUUGAAAGCCACAGCGUAAUUAACCAUUUUAUGCAUGUGAUGGCUGCCUAGCUUCAAAACCUGAUGCUUUGUAAAGGAAAAGAUUCAGCUGCAUUUGAGUUAGAUUUAUGAAACAUGCUAACAAUAGAGCAGACAGAUAGAAAGGCUGCUUGGCAUCCUGGAAUACCUGGGGAAUUUCACUCAGAAAACAAACAUGUUACUCUUUAAUGUAGGCUCACAUCUCAUUAUAAUAUCACAAGUCGAAUGAGACACACUUCGCCUUUGUAACUGUGUUGCCAGGAGGCAGGGAUAGAUGAAAGGAAUCCUUAUGUAUCAACAGCAGCUACCAGGAAAGAGGACUGGAUCACACUUACCCCACAGAGGGACAAAGAGAAUAGGACACAACAGUGAAGACCCUGACAGGAUCAUGCUUAAGCGGGAUGGUUAGCUGCUGUCCAGCCAGUGACAGUCACAAUCUCCAGAGCAACAGUGACUCCAGCUGGAUUGAUUGAAAGUCCCUGAAGCACUUUUCAUUGGAUCCUUACACCCAAAUGGCUCACGGUUCUAUAUGAUCAGUUCUACAUCUGCAAGAACGCUACCCACUGAAUAUUUACAAGUGUGGUUUCCAUGUACAAUUUCAUCAGUUCUAAGGCUGGAAAUGUCUGGAGGAGUUUCUUUAAUGAUCAAGGUCUCCACUCAGGAUAUUAAUACAUUUAAACGUGCAGAUAGGCACUAUCUAAUAGUGUCUAUGGACUAGGUACAACAUACCCUGUCUAUCCCUUCUGAAGAGCCCAUGUGUAUGACAGUUGUGAGAUUCAUCCCACCAUGUUUCCUGAUAGCAACCAGAUCAAAAUUUUCCAAGCACAUCAUGGUUUUCAACUCCUCCUGCUUAUCUUCCAUGCUGUGUAUUAGUGUAAAGGCUUUGAUCUAGGACUUAAACUGAUCUUUUUACCUAGACAGCUUGCAAAAAUAUUACUUUGUUUAUCUUCCUACAUGAUAUCUUCUAUGCUCUUUUGUACUAGUAGAUGAAUAAAGUUGGUAUAUAUGCUGAAGUCCUAAUACUCUGCUUUAGGUAUGGUAAAACAAAAUCAGACAUCAUUUGCUAUCCCAAUUCUGAGGACCACUCUGAAAAUAAUUCCUCCUAUUUUAUUAUGUUGGCCCACAACUUCAGAAACAGAUAUUGGUGCCUUGCAGUCAGAUCUUCCCACCAGUACCCCAUCUUGUUUCCAUGCAACAGAUGACAGCAGAGGAGCAGUCUGACAAAAUGGCAUCUGACAUGGAAGUGUAUAUGAAGCAAAGGUGUGUCAUUAAAUUCCUGCAUGAGGAAAAAAUGGCACUCACUGACAUUCACUGAUAGUUUACUGAACAUUUUUCAAGACCAUACAGUGGAUGUGAGGAUGGUGAAGUGGUGAGUGGUACAAUUCAGCAAUGAUGCCAUCAUAGCAGCUGUGAAGCAGUGGGUCACCUCCACUGGUGCAGAUUUUUACAACCACAUCAUGCAGACUCUUGCUUUCCACUGUCUAAAAUAAGACAGUGGAAAGCAAGUGGUGACUAUGUUGCAAAUGAGUGCUUUGAAUACAAGUGUUUUGUAGCUGAGAUUUCCUCUAUCAAAUAGCAUUAUUGUGCCCUUUGUUGCAGUUUCUAUGGAAAUUAAUAGGAAGCAUUACUUUCAGAGCUACCUACGUACAACCAUUUCAGAUGUAAUUCUUUUGAAUUGCAAGUCUACCUGUUCAAGACUACCCUAUCGCUCAAGUAAAAAAAAAAAAAAAAAAAGAAAUACCUGAGCAAAACAAAUUGGAUUUGGUCUGUGGUUUCUGAAGCAUCACAUGGAGGGAAAUUUUCUUGUACUUACUUUUAUUUAUUUAGUUAUUUUAAAUUAAUGACUUAACAUCUAUGAGUCUUGAUCAGAACUCUUCAGCCUCCAGCUGAAUGAAAUUGUUGUUCCUUGCUUAGAAUAACCUGUUGCUUAAGACAAAGCACAAGCUGGCCUCCUUCUUAUUGUAAUUAACUUCAUUUUAUAUUAAUCAAGCAUGGCUGUUUCUUCUGAUAGUAUAUAAUAAAGGGAUAUAGUCAGUUUUUUAAUUGUAUUGCUGUUUUGCUUUGAUAUAUUUCAAAUACAAAUAACACAAAACAUACUUAUAAAUUAAUGUUAUUUGGUAAUAUUGGAACCAUUUCCAAGUAUAGAAACAUAAGUAAUGAAAUUACCUUAAUUCUAAUGCAGACCAAUAAAACAGAAAGUAAUCUUAUUAUGAAUUACAUACAGUGUUUUAGGAUGAGCAAAGAUUACUAUUUUGGAAGAUUGUAUUAUAUUUUUUGAGCUAACCUCUGCAUUUUCUCAGCAAGAACUUAUUUGGUGUAAAAGACACAGUUUAAAAAUAGUGUGUUAUGAAACAGUCAUUUUUUCUUGCCCUUGCACAUCUCUAAUUGACUAACUACUUUAACCUCACCUUCUAAAUGUGGGAAGGCUACUGAGAAAAUGAAAAUGAUUUUCCCAAAAUCUAAAUUGAGAGGAAGAUGACU
ensembl:lncRNA